rnacentral:rRNA from 1 species
CCUACGGGAGGCAGCAGUGAGGAAUAUUGGUCAAUGGGCGUAAGCCUGAACCAGCCAAGUCGCGUGAGGGAUGAAGGUUCUAUGGAUCGUAAACCUCUUUUAUAAGGGAAUAAAGUGCGGGACGUGUCCCGUUUUGUAUGUACCUUAUGAAUAAGCAUCGGCUAACUCCGUGCCAGCAGCCGCGGUAAUACGGAGGAUCCGAGCGUUAUCCGGAUUUAUUGGGUUUAAAGGGUGCGUAGGCGGCCAUUUAAGUCAGCGGUGAAAGUGUGUGGCUCAACCUUUGAAGUGCCGUUGAAACUGGUGGGCUUGAGUAUGUUUGAGGUAGGCGGAAUGCGUGGUGUAGCGGUGAAAUGCAUAGAUAUCACGCAGAACCCCGAUUGCGAAGGCAGCCUGCC